UGAAAUAUUCAGUUCACAUUCAUUGCUCAUUGGUUCGAGAGCAACGAAUGGAAAAUACACAAAAUACACAAAAUACACUUUUUUUGUUUUUUUGUUUGACAUUUUAAAAUGGCGUUCCCAGUUUGCUCACCUGGGAACGCCAGUACCAAGACGGUACUAUAAGGUAUAAUAAAGCUCGGUUUCCUUAAUGGAAAACACUACCCUACACUUCUACUCAUGGCUACAUUUGUUUAAUCGUUUCUUUAAAAUGGCCUAAUUCUACACAAAUCGUUGGAUGAAAUCAGGGCAAUCUGCUCGCAUCCAACAGCGCACCACUGAAGUCACCAAAGGCUACAUCGGGAUGGACACCCAGCAGAGUACCGCACAUAUUUUGGUACCUAGUCUGGUAUUUUCGUUGUCUCCCUCAAAGAGGACUACAUCUUCCUUUGCGGCUGGCCCGCAUUGCUAGAGGAUA
rnacentral:sRNA from 1 species